rnacentral:rRNA from 1 species
AAAAACAUAGCCUUUAGCCAAACAAGUAUUAAAGGUCUAGCCUGCCCAGUGAACUAUUUCAACGGCCGCGGUAUCCUAACCGUGCAAAGGUAGCGUAAUCAUUUGUCUUCUAAUUAGAGACUUGUAUGAACGGCUAACUGAGGAUCCAACUGUCUCCUUGGGCCAAUCAAUGAAACUGAUCUUUCAGUACAAAAGCUGAAAUAAACACAUAAGACGAGAAGACCCUGUGGAGCUUAAAACCCAUACUAUAGUUCCAAAUAAAGCCCUAAGGGAAUACAUUCCCCCCCACAUAGUAAAAGUUUUCAGUUGGGGCGACUUUGGAAUAAAAUAAAACUUCCAUGCCAGGGGCCUCCCCUAUAAAGGCUAACAUGCCAAAAUAAUAUUUUAUUGACCCAGCCUGUCUGAUCAACGAACCAAGUUACCCCAGGGAUAACAGCGCCAUCCUCUUCAAGAGUUCCUAUCGACAAGAGGGUUUACGACCUCGAUGUUGGAUCAGGACACCCCGGUGGUGCAGCCGCUACCAAAGGUUCGUUUGUUCAACGAUUAACAGU